UUUGUUGGGCAACCAGCACAGCUUUUUCAUGUUGUCUGUGUGUCCUCACCCGCCCCAACCUAUUUAGGUCAAUACAAGCAACUUCAGAGGAAGUCACUGCCUGGUUAUAAGUCUACAGCUUUGGACUGCAGAGGACAGACUGUGCGAGGAAAACAAGAGCACUUCUGGACCGUCAACAAGCAGCCGGUAGCUUCUGAAUAUCACACAGGGUAUCCACCGGAUGGUGUUCGGUCCCUUUGCUUUGGAAAUUGAAGCAGAUCCCUGAACUCAGUUCCUUUGCCAGAGGACACGCUGCUUUGUACGGAGACCCGCCUGAGGCGAGGUACCUGACUGCAUCGCUUCACGGCGCACGAGAUCCACCUGCGCUUCGUUCCCCACAGCGAACCUGGGAGCUGGGAUGCAAACCUUCCCGGAGCGCGAAGGGGUCGUUGAAGAGGACCGAUAGGCCAACAUGUUGCCCGUGAGGCACCGCAAGGGGGGGAAUAUUAGCAGGAGGAGAUCAGAGGAAGAUAAGCGAGGAGCGAGCCGCUUCCCCGAGACCUUCCACUGCGGAUCCGAGAGGGAACAUCAGACGCGUUAAAAAACAAAACAAAACAAAACAAAACAAAACCAAC